rnacentral:rRNA from 1 species
UACGGGGGGGGCAAGCGUUGUUCGGAAUUACUGGGCGUAAAGGGCUCGUAGGUGGCCAACUAAGUCAUACGUGAAAUCCCUCGGCUUAACCGGGGAACUGCGUCUGAUACUGGAUGGCUUGAGGUUGGGAGAGGGAUGCGGAAUUCCAGGUGUAGCGGUGAAAUGCGUAGAUAUCUGGAGGAGCACCGGUGGCGAAGGCGGCAUCCUGGACCAAUUCUGACACUGAGGAGCGAAAGCCAGGGGAGCAAACGGG